GUCAGAACUACUCCAUACCGACGGUAUUAUUGGGCUUUUCAUACGUGUCGACAAAGGAGGCGCUGCUGCUGCUGCUCACGUGAGAGCGGAAUAGGGGUGGGGUUGAAGUGCCGAGGAACGAGAACGCACGAGGGCCACGGACACCGCCGCGACUGAGCAGAAGGAAUAGAACUUCCCAUGCGUGAUGCGAUCAAGUGGCAUCCGUCACCACCCCAUCUCGAUCGCGUCUCUGAGUAAGCUUCCUCGCACUAACACACCAGGGCGUGGUACGUAAGGAAGAGAGUGUCAGAUGAAUACACCAGUUAGCUGUCUACCAACCUCCCUUUCUCUUUGGAAUCUGAGAGAGACAUGGAAGGGACGGGAGGUGUGUGUGUGGGGGGGGGUGACUGUGGCUUUAUCUGUGCUGCGCGAACCACUUCCAUAACGAAAAAAAAAAUGAAACGCGAAACGCCAUCUAUGGUGAUUGGAACCGAGAGGGUCGAGAGCGCUUCAGCG
rnacentral:misc_RNA from 1 species